rnacentral:tRNA from 1 species
GGAAGUAUGGCUGAGUGGACGAAAGCGGCACAUUGCUAACGUGUUGAACUUGUAAAAAAGUUCCAGAGGUUCGAAUCCUCUUGCUUCCG